rnacentral:rRNA from 1 species
GCGCAGCAGGCGAGAAUACUUUACAAUGCGGGAAACCGCGAUAAGGGGACACCGAGUGCCAGCAUAUUAUGUUGGCUGUCCACAUGUGUAAACGGCAUGUGUUAGCAAGGGCCGGGCAAGACCGGUGCCAGCCGCCGCGGUAACACCGGCGGCCCGAGUGGUAAUCACUUUUAUUGGGUCUAAAGGGUCCGUAGCCGGUUUGAUCAGUUCUUCGGGAAAUCUGACAGCUCAACUGUUAGGCUUCCGGGGAAUACUGUCAGACUUGGGACCGGGAGAGGUAAGAGGUACUACAGGGGUAGGAGUGAAAUCUUGUAAUCCCUGUGGGACCACCAGUGGCGAAGGCGUCUUACCAGAACGGGUCCGACGGUGAGGGACGAAAGCUGGGGGCACGAACCGGAUUAGAUACCCGCGUAGU